rnacentral:lncRNA from 1 species
GCAGAGAGGAGUUUCCAACCUCCUCCAGUCCCCUGCCAGGUAUCCUGAGCCUGAGAGCUCCUCAGAGCAUUGUCUGCAGUUACCUCCUCACUUACAGCCCAGACUGAGAUACUCACACUUGUGAUUGCCCAGGUGGAGGGGAGAGGUCAAACUCUUCCCAUGGCCUCCUUUCUCCUCUGUGAAAACUCCAGAUCUUUGCUCCUGAUUUUUUUUUAGUGUGUACCCUUUUGUAUUUCAGCUUCUCCCAGCCGAAAGAAUAAAACUGGUAAGAGGAAGGGAAAUGCAGCCUCAGUAAGGAGGCCUCCAUUCUGGAAGGGCUUCCCAGGCCCAGAGAAGGGAGAAAGUAAUUUGGAACCACCCAAGUAUUGGUGAUGCCAGGCCUCACCCUACCCUGGGGAUAUUUGAAUCUCAAAAAGGGAGCAUGGGAAUCUGACAAAGCACUUGCAUGUAUAAAGAACUCCUCCAAAUCAACAAGGCAAAAACCUCAUUAGAUACAUAGGCAAAAACCUCAGAAGAGCCACAUCACAAAGGAGCACCUCCAAAUGGCCAAGAAGCAUAUGAAAAUAUGUUCAAUCUCAUUAGCCAACAGGGAAUUCAAAUUAGAACUACACCAGGAUGGCUGAAAGUGCAAAGACUGACAAUAUCAAGGGCUGGUGGGGAUGCAGAACAACUGGAACUCUCCUAUGCACUGCGGAAGGGGUAAAUUAAUACCGCCCCUUUGGAAGAACAGUUUAGAAGCAUCACUAAAGCUGAAUAUAUUCAUGCCUACUCCGGAAAUCCUGAGCCCAGUGGCUCCCUUUGAAGAACUGCCUUGGGGUUCAUGUUGCAGCAUCAAACAGGGAUGGAAGAUGCAUCUUGCUUUAGCAGCAGGAGCCUGGAAAGCAGCUGAAGCCCUGGAGGGUGCCUGGCACACAGAAUCUUGUGCUGAGCCCGGAGCACAAUGGGAGCGGGCUGGCGGGGUGGGUUCACAGCUGGACUGGGAGCAGCAGACAUACAGGCCGUAGGCACAGACAUAUAAAGACAGUCAUGCAGAUUGCAGGAUGCCUGAGAGCACAGACUCUCACAUGCACAAAUACGUGCAUGAUCGCCAGUGUGCAUCCAGACAGCCCCACAUGCAUGCACACGCAUGCACACAUGUGAUGUGUACAUAGAUGGACACAUGUCUAUGCCCACAAACACUGCAGAGACACAGAAGUGUCUGGCAAGGAACACUAUUUUGUCCUCAAUUUUCUGCCAGUGAGAGUCUACUGACUCCAUCUCUGAAAUGUCUCUACUUAUUGUCCCUCUUCUCCACCUGCACCACAUCCCUAGUCCCUGAAACUCCCACCGAGACCCCUGGGCAAUAGCAAAGUCUGCACAGGAUUCCUGCUCCGCCUCUACCCCACCCUUAAGCCCAUCCUACAUGCAAGAGCAGGAGUUAUCUGGGUAUCAAGCAAAUCUGACCACAUCACCUCCCCACUGCUUAAAACCCUUUCCUACAGGAUGAAGUUGAAAUCACUUGACAUCCCAUAUAAGGCCCUUGACUGUCUGGCAUCAGCCAUAGUCUGGCCUCAGGCCCUGGCAUGGAGUCCCCUGGACUCAGUGCUCUGGCUGAGGGCCUCCAGGAUGAAGAUACCCUGUGCAAAGCCUCACACUUUUGCUGUUGCUGGGCUCACUGUGUGAAAUUCCCUCCUCCCUCCUUCCACCUUCCCUAUGCUGAACUGCCACUCCUCCAUCCUCCAUGGCCAGCUAAGCCAACACCUCCCCACUUCCUCCUGACAACCCAGGCACAGCCACUGACCUGUCCCAUGGCUGUCACAGCCCUUUCUUGGGCUCUCAAUGGUAUCAUUGUCACCUGUGUGCUCAUGAGCCUCUGCCACUCAACUCCAAGCACAUCAAAUAAAGAGCUCAAAACAUAUCGGAUACUCAA